UACGUAGGGUGCAAGCGUUGUCCGGAAUUAUUGGGCGUAAAGAGCGUGUAGGCGGCCAGAUAAGUCCGCUGUGAAAUCUCGAGGCUCAACUUCGAGCUGUCGGUGGAAACUGUCUGGCUAGAGUCCGGAAGAGGAGAAUGGAAUUCCUGGUGUAGCGGUGAAAUGCGUAGAUAUCAGGAAGAACACCCGUGGCGAAGGCGGUUCUCUGGGACGUGACUGACGCUGAGACGCGAAAGCGUGGGGAGCGAACAGG
rnacentral:rRNA from 1 species